GUUCAUCAAGAUUUGGGUACAGCGGCAUGGAAGUUAGGUUAGGACAACCAUAUAUAGAUAAAAAAGAAAGACAAGGAAAUGAAGAAGCUGAAGCUGAAGCUGUUUCAUUCCUCCACCAUCCCUUGAGAUUAGGGCAUAUUCUUAGAUAAAGACUCUCUAAGGAGGGAAAGAAGGUCGUCGAUGGAGAAGCAGCUGACAUCAUCAUCACAUCACCGGCGCCGGCAAAGUCCUUGACCUUGUCUUCUGCAGAUAUGUGCUCCAAAUUCCUUAACCCGAAAAGAUGAAGACUCUUAAGAAAAGGUAAAUGAUCCAACGGUGGAAGAUGUUGGCAUCUAUCACAGUUAGACAAUAUGAGAUUAACAAUAUUUGUGAGAGAAUGAAACCAACUCGCAAACCUCACACCCGGGUAUCUGUUCACGACUAACUCUUUUAGACUCGAAUGGGGCUGCAGCGCUUCCAUUGACUUAAUAAUUACAUCAUUCUCCUCCGCAUCAUUAUUUUCUCUUUCAAUGUGCAUCCAAUAUAAAGUCAACGAAUAGAGAUGUCGUUUCUCCUUCAAAACUGCACAAUCAUAAUUCAAUUCUGACACCAUAUCUUGCUCGCACCUCAAAUUCAUGAUUUUCAACUCUCCUCUUAAAUCCUUCAACUUUCCCAACUCACUGAGCCCUGCACCGUCCCUCAACAUGGAUUUGUUUUCACUCAAAACAAAUGUAUUCAAAGUACGAACAUGAGUCAAUUCACCCAAUCCACGAGGAAUCCAAGCCAAGUUGUCACAAUUUGCCAAAAUGAGAUGCCUCAAGUUGAUCAAUUUCUUAAUAUCUCUAGGCAAUUCCACAAGCACCCGACAACAAUUGAGAUCUAGUGUUUCCAAAUUUUGAAGUUUCACUAUCCAAUUUGGAAGUCUCUUAAUGGGAUUUCCACUAAGAUCAAGAUAUCUUAAAUGUUUCAGUUUCCUAAGACAUUUUGGCAAUUUUGUAAUUCCCAAUUUAUUUAAACUCAACAUACGCAAUGACUUAAAAUUUGAAGCAAUUGUAGCACAAAAUGAUGUACGGAAUGACAUCUCCCACUCCUUUUGGCUUAGGAAAAGAAAAGUCCUUAGCUUAUUUGAUUCCAGCAAGGAUGUUGGUAUUUUCCAUUCCAACGAAUCAACAUGAAAAUUGAAAGAUACAUGAAGAAGACGUUUUGCAUCAAAAUUAGUCUUAUUGCGAUCUAUUAUUGUGCUUCCCUCCCCUGCCACUUUAACAGCAAGUUCAUUCAUGAGAUCAUGCAUUUUACAGCUUUUUAUUAUACCAAACUCAUCUUUUUCUUCUUCUUGGAAAAAAGAUCUCCAAACUAGUUCGUUAUAAUAUUCAUAACCAACAUCUUCCAAGCACUCAUUAGGAUUUGAAGACUUAACGAACCCUUGUGCCACCCACAACCUAAUUAAAUUCUCUGCGGGAAUCUCAUAAUCAGGCGGGAACAAACUACAAUAAGCAAAACAAUGUUUCAAAUGUGAUGGGAGAACAUCAUAACUCAGCUGAAGUGUUGGUAAAAUAUCAUUUUCUUCUUGCCUUAUUGUUGAAAGCUUGUUAUUCAUGAAAUCCGACCACUCAGUUUCUGGAUCUCUAGUGUACAACAUCCGUCCUAUGGUCCUUAUAGCAAGAGGAACCCCCUGACAUUUUCUAGCAAUCUCCUCCCCAAUCGCCUUAAUGGUUGAACUCUCUGGCUCUUUUCCUUCUUGGAAUGCCAUUUUCUUAAACAAAUACCAAGACUGCUCUUCACUUAAACCCCUUAAGUUAUAUGGUUUAGAUGUGUCUGUUAUUUUUGCAACUUUUUCACUACGAGUAGUUAUUAGUAUUUUACUACCUUUUCCACCGCCCAUCAAUAAGUUUUGCAAGCCAAACCAUUUUUCACGAUUAUCAUUCCACACAUCGUCCAACACAAGGAGGUAUCUCUUCCCAUCUAUUAUUUUCCUCAGUUCUUUUUGCAACUGAUCAAUCUCAAGGCUUUUGGCUAUGUCAUUAGUUGCAGAUUGAAUGAUUUUCUUAACAAUUAUAUCCAACUCAAAUACAUUUGACACACAUAUCCACAUUUUCAGCUCAAAAUGCUUCUCAACCUUCUCAUCGUUUAAAACUAGUUGAGCAAGUGUAGUUUUUCCCAAUCCUCCAAAUCCAACUAUGGAAAUCGAUGAGACAUUCUUUGUAGGGAUGGGAUCCAAAUCCAACAAAAGUUGAAUAAUUGCUCUUUUGUCUUCAUCUCUCCCUAUUAUAUUAUCCUCGCGGACAAAUGAGUGGGUGACCCUCUCUCUUAUUACAAAUCGUGCAUCUUCGUGGUUCACUUGUAAUUGACCAAAUGUUCUAUUCGAGGCAAUCUCAUGAAGUCUCUUGUUAAGAUCUUUUAUCUUAUGACCCAUUUUCAGCCCAAAAACAAGCUGAUUUGAGCUAGAGAAGAAGAUGCGUACCUGCUUUGACACUUUAUUAUUUCCAGGCACCAUUUGUCUCCACUGAGCUUCAGUAUAAAACUCAUCGAGCACGUCAUCAGCUUCAUAAACUUCAUCUUCUACGCUUUGGAGCCACUCUUUGACUGCUUCAUUGUUGGCUUGCUUUUGCUCAGCAUCAAGAAGAACAGCUCGGAGUUGGGAAACUAGAAGCUUAAGCUUUUGGAGCUCAUCGUUGACACCCCAAACCAAUCCAAUCUCUUCAAAAGCACGGGAGCCUAACCUUUCAAUGAUCCCUUGUACAAUGUUGAAGAGGACUCCUUCUGCCAUUGGAGAGAGGAAAAGAGUAUUCACUUGGAGAAAGGAAAAGAGUAUUCUUGCCGAAAGUUGUGGUUUGUUGAUAAGAGUUAUUUGGUGUGGAACAGGAAGUGGAGCAAGAGUAUUAACAAGGGACAAAAGAAACAUGCAUCAAAUCACAUGGGAAAGCUUUGAAUAGUGUGGAACAAGUGGAGCAAGAGUAUUAACAAUUGGACAAAGGAAAGAGGAAACAUGCAUCAAAUCACGUGGGAAAGCUUUGAAUAUUUGGUGUGAAACAGCAAGUGGAGCAAGUUGAAGAAAUGUUUGACUCAAAUAUGCUUUCGGUGGUUUUGACAUUAUUUUAAUGAAGGAGUCUAAUUGUAUAGCCGUUGGUGUUGUUCUGUUUGAGAAAUAAGCAAUUCUUUCUUUCUCCUUGUUUAUUGUUUCCAAGUGACUCUUGCUGCAGUUUUGGUUUCAAUUCCUAUAGAUGCCAGCUAUCUACUUUUUAUAUUAAAUUACUAAUACUAUACAAUAUCAUGUAAGCCAGUUAUGUUUAGCAUACUUUUACAUUAUAAUUAAGAUAUCAACAACGACAUAAUGUGUGCAAUUAAUAUUUUAUUGGAUUAAUAAUAGGUUCCCACCACAAUGGUGGUGGAUUACCAGAGAAGGCCAUCAUGUAACUCUUUCCCUCUCCCAGACCAACAGCAUGGGUUGGUUUCUGUCGAAUAGGGAGUGAGAGACCUACACAUUCUUCUACACAAACCCACCCAACUCCCAAAAAAUAUGGGCAAAUAACACUUUUCCUCAAUAAUCUCAAAAUGCCAGCUGGCAAAACAGUACUUUUCCAUGCUGGCAUCAUCUUCCACGUGUCAGACAGUGACUCCUCAAUUCCCCUGCCACAUUGGCUCUCUAUUUUGGCUUUGGUAGGGCACAUGAAAUUGCUUAGUCCCUGGUAGAUAGAUGUCAUCAUAGUUGGAUUUGGGACCAAGCAAUGUAUAAUGGUGUUAAUUAAUUCCUCUGUUUUGUAAAUGGGUUCUUUCUUGAGUGCAUGUUCAUAGAAAAACAAAAUGUAAAAUUACUUUUGUAACAAACAAUAAAUUUAAAAAAAAAGAAGAGAAAAGAAAAGAACUAUUAUUACUUUGCACUUAUGCCAAAAUGCCCAAAGCCAAUGUGGGUUGUAUAUAUGUAGGGACUAGGGAAUAGCAAAUACUUAAUGAAGAAAUGCUUCACAAUGAAAUGAUGCACAAAGAUUAAAGAAAUAGAGACAAACUCAUGUAAAACACAAAAAAGAGACCAUUAUGUAAAUUGAUUUAAGCUAAGAUCCGUUAAGUGUGGAAGUGGAACAUCCCAACUAAAAAUAAAAAAUAAAAAUCUUUUAGGUUUAGCUAUUGUUUCACAUACGAAAGACUAUUUUGUAUAAGUAAAACUAAAUAAACGAGUAAGUAACCAAAAUCCUAAAAUAUGUCUAUAAAUACCUUAAAAUUUCUUCAAAAAUUUUCCCCAUCAUUUCAUUCCACAUUUUUUACAAAUUCUAUCACAUUCUCUACUUGUUACCAACUUUCCACACACAAAAAUACUAACAAAAAUAGCACUGGGCUUUGGGAACACAUCUCACAAAAAUACACAGAUGAAGUUGUGAGAUAUUGAAUCGAAAACACUUUAUUUAUUGACAUUUGAAGAUGAAGGUAAGAGGUGCCACGUCGACAAAGAUCUAAUCGAAAAUCUGGAUAAUUGCUCCCGGACUAACACGUGUCACUUGAAAAUCAUAUCCAAAAAAUUAUUAAGCUUCCUUCAAGAUAAGACUUGCUACGUGGACACAAAAUCUUUAUAAAAAAUCUUGUUAAUUGCUUGUCAAUGUACACGUGUCAUAUAUGGAAUAUUGUAUUUAAAUAGUAGUUUAAUUAAAUUAAACAAUACAAAGUUGUGGAAUAUAUAAGUGUUGUACCAUAGUUUUUCUCAAAAUAAUAAAAUACGAAAGGCCCUAAAAUAUAGCUCUGACCAGAGAUGGAAAAAUUUAAUCAUACCCUAUUUUUUUUAAAAUUAAAUUUAUAGCUCUAAAUUACGUUUAGCCCUAACUGGAGAUGGCAUAAGAAGCCAAAAACCAUGAAAGAAAGUGAAGAGAUUCAAACGUACAAUGAUGUUUCCAUGUUGGUAAAGUUAUCAACUUUGCAAUUAUUUAUUCAAUAAUUAUUAGUGGGUGAUUGCUGAUUAAUCAACCAAAGAGGAAAAGUACCAAACUGAAGCCUGAAGCCAUGACAUGGACACCAUUGAAUAAUUUGGAUAAUUGGAAGUUGUGUCAAAAACAAAAACGCAGAAAAAAUAAACCCCACCAGCCUCCUUACAGGCUCCAGCUGUGCCUUCUGUUUCUGUUUGGCCAAUGGCUUUUUAGUGGGGAUGAUAAGAUAGCUGAUCCAGUGUUUGGACGUGGCAGAGAAUAUAUGUUGUCGUAAUAACAUUUAUCUGGGAACACCUAUUUAUAAUACAGUGCUGCAUUCACUUGUUGAGGCUAAGGAAGUAGGUGUUUUCAUCACCAUUGGUUUUCACAGCACGGAUCCAGCGACCUGCCAUUUUGUUUUCUCUGCAUAUGCCAACAGUGGUUUUCACAGCACGGCCAUGGAAGCACUGCAGGUUUUGAGUAUGCGCAUGAUAUGUGAAGAAGAUGGCAGCUUUCCAGAAAGGCAGAAUUUGAGGAUGACUUCAUCUUUGCUGAAGACUUGGAAGCUGAAUCACGAAUAGUACAGCUUGUUAAAGAUUCUGAAGAGAACCUUGCUGUUGCCCUUUUGAAUCUAAGAUGGUGCGCUGUGCUUGGCUUCCCAAUUUCAUGGUCACCUAAUCAAAGCCCAUGGGCCAGAAGACUGUCAUCUAACUACACUGCCAGGAAAGGAGCCACCUAAUCAUGAUAUAUAUAGGUGGCAUUAUGACUCCAGUGAGUUUCCCUUUAUUAUUAUUUUUGGUUGUGGUCGGACGAAGCCCAAGGCCUCCUCAGGAAGAAGGCAGAGGGUGAGAGGCACAGAUGAGGUCUUGAUCUUUUAUAGCUGAUUUUUUAGAUUUGUAUUAGGCUAGGAUAUUUGAGAAAAUUAGGGGAUGCCCUUUUAUCUUUUUUGGUUCAUUACGUUAUUUUGUAAGCUACUGCUUUGUAUAUUUAAAAGGUGAAAUCGUGCUGCAGUUCUCUAAACAGGAUCAACUGUGCCUAGGAGGAGGCGGCGGCAUGUUUUGCUGUUAAUUUAACAAAAAAAGCACAAAAAAGCAUUGAUAUUUUCUUUAUGCUUUUAUUCUUUAGCAAGUAUGCUUUGACCGCUAUCUUCUGUUGUCAUUGUACUUUUGUUAUGGUUCAAAUCAGUGAUGCCGGUGCGGUAUGAAUCCGCCAGGGAGGAGGCAUUUUCUCCACAGCAUAGAAUGAGUUGCUCUCCUCUAGGGAGGGAGAGAAGGGUGCUGCUGGCAAGUUCUUUAAAUAUUCUCUUCCGAUCCACAUCUAGGGGUUGAUUUUAUCAUUCACAAUUUAUGGAUUAAACAACAUUACAAAUUAUAGUUGUUCAUGACGAGUUUUCAUAUUUUUUUGUAUGAAAACGAUAAUUGGAUUAAUUAACAAGAUGAAUGUUAACAUCUCUUAAUUUAAACAACCAAAUUAUCACUCAAUCAUUAACUAAAGUACAACCAAAAGAUGAAUACUGAAGGGAAUUAACCUCAUUCUUGGCAGAUGAAUCUGAAAUUUAAUUCAUAAAUAUCAGCCAUCAUGACAAAAUACAAACUGCUUUCACAAUGUCAAAAGCCAUAAGGAAACUUGAGAGUUACAAGUACAACUGAGUCACUUGUAUGAUCAAAGUCAGGAUGCCUAAUCAGUUUCUUCUUUUAAUCACUGCAUAUCCAUAAAAGAAAAAUAAGAAACAGAACCGAAUGUUAUUAUCAUGUGAACAUACCAACAACAAAACAAUGUUAGGAUCAAGGGGUCAUCAUCUAAUACAUACCUACCACAUUUUUGGUGACCUGCUGUUGCACAAUCACAAUCAAGCCAUAAGAGUUUUUAGUGGGGAUCCAAUCUCCACUGAACCAACCAUUAAAAUUCACAACCUCAAUCUGAAAAAGAAGAAAAUGAACAAGUUGAGGUUGGUUGCCGUUUGAAUGAAAGUGUGAAUGCAAAAGAAAGAAAUUAGUUAGAAAAACGCACCAAUGCUAAUGUCUGGGAUGUGAGCAAUCUUGGACCAGUCCUCACCUGUUUCUUUCUGGCAUCUUUGCUUUAAGAUGGGGCAACUCUCAAUUAUCAACCUUUUUAAUGAGACGAGGCAACGAAGCCCUUCCGGGAGUGAUGCCAAAUUAGGACACUUUGAAAUAUGAAGUCUCUGUAAGGAGAUGAGGCGACCCAUCCCUUGAUCUGGUAGUGAUACCAAAUUAGGACAAUCUUUAAUUUCAAGCUUCUCAAGUAAUGUGAGGUUUCCAAUCCCUUCUUCUGGCACAUAUUCUAUAUCCUCAACGCCCCUAAUCUCUAGAUAUUUUAAUUUGUAAGAGGGAACAAAGGAGGAGGGAAGGACCUUCCAGCUGCUUUUCUGUAACCACAGUUCAUCAAGAUUUGGGUACAGCGGCAUGGAAGUUAGGUUAGGACAACCAUAUAUAGAUAAAAAAGAAAGACAAGGAAAUGAAGAAGCUGAAGCUGAAGCUGUGUCAUUCCUCCACCAUCCCUUGAGAUUAGGGCAUAUUCUUAGAUAAAGACUCUCUAAGGAGGGAAAGAAGGUCGUCGAUGGAGAAGCAGCUGACAUCAUCAUCACAUCACCGGCGAAGUCCUUGACCUUGUCUUCUGCAGAUAUGUGCUCCAAAUUCCUUAACCCGAAAAGAUCAAGACACUUAAGAAAAGGUAAAUGAUCCAACGGUGGAAGAUGUUGGCAUCUAUAACAGUCAAACAAUGUGAGAUUAACAAUAUUUGUGAGAGAAUGAAACCAACUCGCAAGCCUUGCACCCGGGUAUCCGUUCACGUCUAACUCUUUUAGACUCGAAUGGGGCUGCAGUGCUUCCAUUGACUUUAUAAUUACAUCACUCUCCUCCGCAUCAUUAUUUUCUCUUUCAAUGUCCAUCCAAUAUAAAGUCAACGAAUAGAGAUGCCGUUUUUCCUUCAAAACUGCACAAUCAUAAUUCAAUUCUGACAUCAUAGUUUGCUCACACCUCAAAUUUAUGAUUUUCAACUCUCCUCUUAAAUCAUUUAGCUUUCCUAACUCACUGAGCCCUGCACUGUCCCUCAACAUGGAUUUGUUUUCACUCAAAACAAAUGUAUUCAAAGUACGAAGACGAGUCAAUUCACCCAAUCCAUGAGGAAUCCAAGCCAAGUUGUCACAAUUUGCCAAAAUGAGAUGCCUCAAGUUGAUCAAUUUCUUAAUAUCUCUAGGCAAUUCCACAAGAAACCGACAACAAUUGAGAUCUAGUGUUUCCAAAUUUUGAAGUUUCACUAUCCAAUUUGGAAGUCUCUUAAUGGGAUUUCCACUAAGAUCAAGAUAUCUUAAAUGUUUCAUUUUCCUAAGACAUUUUGGCAAUUUUGUAAUUCCCAAGUCAUUCAAACUCAACAUACGCAAUGACUUAAAAUUUGAAGAAAUUGUAGCAUAAAAUGACUUAUGGAAUAACUUGUCCUGCCACCUUUGUCUUAGGAAAAGAAAAGUCCUUAGCUUAUUUGAUUCCAGCAAGGAUGUCGGUAUCUCCCAUUCCGACAAAACAACAUCAAAAUCGAAAGAUACAUGAAGAAGAUGUCUUGCAUCAAAAUCAGUCUUGUUGCGAUGUAUUAUUCUGCUUCCCUCCCCUGCCACUUUAACAGCAAGUUCAUUCAUGAGAUCAUGCAUUUUACAGCUUUUUAUUAUACCAAACCCAUCUUUUUUUUCUUCUUGGAAAAAAGAUCUCCAAACUAGUUCGUUAUAAUAUUCAUAACCAACAUCUUCCAAGCACUCAUUAGGAUUUGAAGACUUAACGAACCCUUGUGCCACCCACAACUUAAUUAAAUUUUCUACGGGAAUCUCAUAAUCAGGUGGGAACAAACUACAAUAAGCAAAACAAUGUUUCAAAUGUGAUGGGAGAACAUCAUAACUCAGCCUAAGUGUUGGUAUAAUAACAUCUUCUUCUUGACUUAUUGUUGAAAGCUUGUUACUCUUGAAAGCCAACCACUCAGUUUCUUGAUGUUUAGGGUACAACAUCCGUCCUAUGGUCCUUAUAGCAAGAGGAACCCCCUGACAUUUUCUAGCAAUCUCCUCCCCAAUGGCCUUAAUUGUUGAACUAUCUGGCUCUUUUCCCUCUUUGAACGCCAUUUUCUUAAAUAAAAACCAGGACUGCUCUUCAUUCAUGCCCCUUAAGUUAUAUGGCUCAGCUGUAUCUGCUAUAUUUGCAACUUUUUUACUACGAGUAGUUAUUAGUAUUUUACUACCUCUUGCACCACCCAUCAACAAGUCUUUCAAGUCGUCCCAUUUUCCAUGAUCUUCAUUCCACACAUCGUCUAACACAAGGAGGUAUUUCUUUCCAUCUAUCUUUCCCCUAAGAUUCCUUUGCAAUUGAUCCAUCCUAAGGUUUUUUGGUUCCUCAUUAGUUGCAGAUUGAAUGAUUUUCUCAGCAAGUACAUUCAAUUCAAACACAUUGGAGACACAUGUCCACAUUUUCAGCUCAAAAUGAUUUUGAACCACCUCAUCGUUGAAAACUAGUUGGGCAAGUGCAGUUUUUCCCAAUCCUCCAAAUCCAACUAUGGAAAUAGUUGAGACAUUUUCUGUAGAGAUGGGAUCCAAAUCCAACAAAAGUUGAAUAAUUGCUCUUUUAUCUUCAUCUCUCCCUAUUAUAUUAUCCUCGCGGACAAAUGAGUGGGUGACCCUCUCUCUUAUUACAAAUCGUGCAUCUUCGUGGUUCACUUGUUCUAAUUGAAUAAACAUUCUGUCUGAGGCAAUCACAUGCAGCCUCAGGUUGAUAUUUUUAAUCUUAUGACCCAUCUUCAGCCCAAAAACAAGCUGGUUUGAGCUAGAGAAGAAGAUGCGUACCUGCUUUGACACUUUAUUAUUUCCGGGCACCAUUUGUCUCCACUGAGCUUCAGUAUAAAACUCAUCGACCACGUCAUCAGCUUCAUAAACUGCAUCUUCUACGCUUUGGAGCCACACUUUGACUUCAUUAUUGUUGGCUUGUUUUUGCUCAGCAUCAAGAAGAACAGCUUGGAGUUGGGCAACUUUCUCCUUCAGCUUUUGGAGGUCAUCUUUGACACCCCAAAGCAAAGCAAUCUCUUGGAAAAAAAGGGAGCCUAACCUUUCAAUGAUCCCUUCUGCAACGUAGAAGAGGACUCCUUCUGCCAUUGGAGAAAGGAAAAGAGUAUUCUUGAUGAAAGUUGUGGUUUGUUGAUAGAGUUAUGUGGCGUGGAACAGCAAGUGGAGCUAGUAGAAGAGGAAAUGCCGAAAUGUCAUCUUUGACUAGUUUUGUCAUUAUUUGAAUGGAGGAGUCCAAUUGGUUGGUGACAUGUGUGAUAGCAGUUGGUGUUGUCCACUUUGAGAAAUAAACAAUUCUUUCUUUCUCCUUGUUUAUUGUUUCCAAGUGGAUGGGUCCUUGUUUAUUGUUUAAUGACUUGUGUAUUAUGUGCCGGCUAUCCACUUUCAUAUUAAUCUCUAUUUUUAUAUAAAAUUACUAAUACUAUACACAGUCCUGAUCUCUUGGACCCCUGUAGUCCAAGAGAUUUAUGGUCACCCACCGUUGGAUGUAAAUUCAACGGUUGACUUGAAUCGGGUAAUAAUCAUUUAUGUCAUAUUGCAUUUAUAUAUAUCAUUUUGAACCAUUGGAUUAAUAUCCAACGGUGGGUGACCACUAUCUCUUGGACUCCUGUGGUCCAAGAGAUCGGGACUGAUACUAUACAAUAUCAAUUAUUAUCUGAAAUUUGGUAGUUGGGUCAAUAAAAGAAACUUACAAAAUUUGGUAGUUGGGUCAACAAAUAAAAUUCAGCAGAGAAGGCCACCAUGUGACUCUUUCCCUCUCCCAAACCAACAGCCUGGGUUGGUUUCUGUCCCCUCCUCCUAAAACUGGACCAAUGGGGAGCGAGAGACCUACAGAUCCUUCUACACAAACCCAACCAACUCUCAAAAGAAAAGGGCAAAAUGUUGUAAACUAAAGAGAAAUUGGAGAGGGAAUUGAGAUAGAGAAAGCAUAGAAAUCUGAUGUUUUUCAUUCAUUCAUUUCUAUAUAUUACAACAAAGGGAGGAAGCCCACUUAUAUGCAAAGUCUGUUGGCUUCCUGUGAAUAUGCAAUGACAUCUCCCAAUAUGUGGAUUCCACUUCCACAAUACUUUUAUUAUGAUGUUCUUCAAUCAUUUAGGUAGUGGGCUCUACCAUUUUGGGAUCCAUCCUUGACUGUACAACACUGCCCCUUAGAGACCACAAAUGGUAUGGAAUAUCUUAUAGGGUGCUGACCUUGGUCUCUAUACAAAAGAAAAGAAAAGAAAAGAUCCUGGUCUCUGAACUUUUUGAAUAUCUUAUAAGAGUAAGAGUAGAGUUAGUUGGAUGCUAAUUUAAGAUAUUUAGUUAUGGUUUUCAAUAUUGUAAAUGUUAGGAAGAGCAUUGUUUGAGUUAUGCUUCUUCAUUCUUGUUCUCAUAGGUAAUGAAUAUGUUUGGCUCUAAUAAUAGGAAUCAUGUAACAUGGGCAUAUCAAAACCCGGUAUAGAUGCUAGCAGAGGGCAGCAUGAUAGAAGUAUCAAUGAGGAUCAAUGUUUUAAAUUUGUGGAACGCCUCUUGGCGAGGCGGUUGGAAUUUGCCUCGGGGCGCAGCUACUUAUGCGAAAGUCACCAAAAGACUGAGUCAUACGCCUUUCUUCGAGGCUUAUGCAUCCCCUUAGAGGCGUAAGCCUUUUAGAAAAACAAUGUCAUCUGGCCUGGGAUUCCCAACAUAAAAAAUAAAAUAAAUUACCAUUUUGGCAUCUCUAAGGUGAUUUUCUAGUGUUUUCUCCCGCAACAUAGUGGCUAGAACCACAGUUACUGAAUUCGAGAUGGAGUGGGAGAGCCAUAGAGAGAGAGAGAGAGAGUCGUGGGAGCUUUGAAAUUGGGUCAGAAGUGGAGAAGAAGACAUUCAAUUUUUUCUUUUCCAGUUGAAAGUGCUUGGGCCUCGUUUGGUUCUUGGGAAAGGAGGCUUGGGGAUGGGAAAUCAAUUGUUUUCCCAUGUUUGGUAAGUCCAAACAUGAGAAAUGGUUGCCUGCCUGGCACAUAGGAAAAUAGAGGGGAAAGUGGAGCCCUCCUCCCAACUUGGGUUUUGUUUUCCCUCAUCAUGGGAAAGUUUGGGAAAAUGAGCCAACCUUCAUGCACAUUUUUCAUAACCAUUUUGUCCCCUUUAACAAUUUAGAAUUACAAAAUAUCAUUAAAUGCACUCUUUUUUAUUUGAUUUAAUAUGGGUAUAAUUGAAAAAUUAUACAAACUUUGUUUUCCAUUCUUACUCAAAACAUACAAACAUAGGAAAGGAAAUAAAGUGAAAUCUCCCGGUUACUUUCCCGGCAUUACCAAACGUGAGAGGAAUCUUUCAUUUCCUAUUCCUUAGGAAAUGAUAUAGAAAGUGAUUUCCCCUCAAAUUCGUUCCAUGAACCAAACGGGGGCUUGGAGCAGAGGAGAUGAUUAAAGAGCUGAUCCAGUAUUUGGACGUGGCAGAGAAUAUUUUUUGUCAUAAUAACAUAUCUGGGAACGCCUAUUUAUAAUACAGUGCUGCAUUCACUUGUUGAGGCUAAGGAAGUAGGUGUUUUCAUCACCAUUGGUUUUCCUUUCAUUUGCAACUUCAUGAUAUGUGAAAUAUUGGACCAGUGUUCAUCUACUUUCUGCUUCUGAUUACAUGCAGAGUCAAAUGGCAAUUAAGAUAUUAAAAAAUUUGAAGUCAUUUGGUUUCCCGGCAGAUUCUGUGACUUAUCAUAUAAUGAUUGAUUGUUGUAGCAUUCUAGGAUGUUACAGAUCUACUUGCGCAUUGGUGUCCAUGAUGUUGUGAGAUGGCUUUUAUCCACUAACAGUGACUUAUACCAUUCUCAUAAAGGUAGCUUUAAUAUUAUGAUUACUCAGUCUGAAUUAUCAUGCAUCUUAGGAAACUGCUACCGUUUAUGUAUGUGAUCGAAAAGUGUACUUUUUCGAGCUCUUGAUGUGCAAACUAGUCAUAUUUUAGUUCUGCUUUGUUUACAUAAAAACCCCUUCCUUCAUCCUUCAUCCUUUUUUUUUUUCCUCCUGACUAGAGUAUUUGCAAAGUUUAGAUGUUUGUAAAGAUAUUUAAGUGAAGACAAUUAGUAAGUUCAUUUUUUUUUAAAUAAAAAAGAAAACAAAAGGAAAGUUACAUUUUUGUCUUCUCUGAAAUAUAAGUAAUUUAAUACAAAAUUAGUGAAAUACCCAUUUCUAGACAUGAAACUAUAAAUAUACCCUAUACCAUUUAAUCUUUAUAAAUAUACCCAAAAAUAAACAAUUGUAUAUUUUUUAAUUUAAUUAAUAAGAUGAAAUACCUUUAUAACCCUUUUUAGCAAGCCCCUCUCCUCCUUCAAACCCUCGCAUCUCCUCUGUUCUCUCCCUUCCCUCUCUCUGCCUUCAAAGUAAGCCAAACAGUCUCAGAGCCAUGGACCAACACAAGACCAACGAAAAUCCUCCCUCGUCACACCGUUGACAAUCUCCGUUACGUUGGUGGGCUCAAAUGUGUUCUCGUAGACGAUGCCUCCAUUUCCUUUGCAGGUUUGUUCCAUCUGCUUCAAUUCGUUAAGUUCCUUUUUAUUUUUGCUUAAUUUACUUGAAUUUCGACUUGAUUUCAGUUUCUUCGUUGAAUUUGGUGCUAAUUUUCAUUUUUUAUAUGAACAGAGCUAAUGGUUAAGCUCGCAGAAUUCUUUGGCUACUACUGUAGAUUUGAGGUGUCAAUUACCGGAUGAAGGUGUUCAGAACGCCGACGCCGGUGUUGAUUGCGAGAAGAACGAAGAUGAAGACGAUUUCUCUUUCGCACCCGACGGAUCGUCGAUUUCCACGGACGAUAUAUUCCAAAAUGGCCAGAUCCGUCCGGUGUUCUCGAUUUUCUACCAUAAUCUCCUAUUCUCCGAUGCCGACGACGACGAAGCUUCCAGAGCCAAAGGGGCUGCCGCUUCAUCUUCCUAUCUGCGACCAUCAGUGAAUAAGCUUUUCUUUGAAGAGCGGGAUACACCAACCUCGGCAACGUCGUUUUACAACUCAGGAGGUGGACUCGGGUCGUGAUCUAUGAGAUCAACCAGCUUCUAAGUUUGAUCAUCAACACCUUCUACAACAAGAAGGAAACCUUUCUCUGUGAGCUCAUUAGUAAUGCCUCUGAUGUACGUAUUUUCACCUUUUUAUUCUUAUCUUGAUUUAUCAUUUCAGUAUUUUCUAGUAUUUAUUGUAUGAAUCUUUGUGUUUUCUUUUUGUGUUUGGCGUGUGAACGUUUUAAAUUCAACGAUUUAGUUGGUAUGCUUAGGUUAGAAAUCUAAACAUGUUAACUUUUUAUGCUGUGGUUUAUGAUUGUUUCAAUAUUGAAGGAAACUAAUUUAUUUGUUCUUUAGUCAUCGUUACUUUUUUAGUUAAAAGUUUGAGAAUAUUGGGGGUUUUUGACUUAGUUGUUCUCUUAUGGCUUAGAAACACUAGAUGAGAUUUGCUGGAAACAUUUUAUGGAGUUUAGAGAAGAAUCUAGAUAAGGUUUUUUAAUCGUUUCCUUUUGUUUUAAUUUUUGAAGGAUAGUAGCCUCUGGUCAUGCUUAGGGCUACGAAAUUACAGUUAACUUGAAUUAAUUAUACGAUGGUUCCAUUUUGUGCCUAUGAUCCACCAAUUGUGGGAAACAAUUUAUACUGGUGCAAGUCCUUUAGGCAAUGAUUUAGAUGAUGUUCUUGUGUUUACUGGAAAUAUGACAGUUGUAAGACAAACAUCACUAUUCUUUCUUAACAUGUGCUUUCCAUAGAGAGGAAACAGAAAUUUUGAAUAUAGCAUGGGUCCCUUUUUCGCUUAUUUAUAUUUUUGUUUAGUCGUGUUUUUUAGGUUAAAAUUUGAGUUCCCUGAUGUUGAGCAAUUCAAGAGCUACUUGGCCAAUAAUGCUUCUGUGGCAAAUCAGAAUUUAUAAUGACUGCUAGUGAUACACAAACUUGCAAAGUGCAACAUAAGACCAACUAUAUCAUCUUUUGGUUUGAGUGGAGUUUUUGUUUAGGUUGGCCUGCUGUCAUGCUUGCAUUAGUUAUGAACGAACGAUUCUAUUAUUUCUAUUGUUGUAAAUUGUCUUAUGGGCUGGGGCAUAAUUUUCAUUGACUUGGGCAUGUUAUCCUUGGAUGUAAGCAAGAUGUUGUUAACAAUAUAUGAGCUGGAGAGUGGUCACGUGCUUCUCAGUGUAUAAUUCGUGAUUGUUAGUUAGGCUUGUUAGCUAGGCUACUUAGUAGAAGUUGUCAGCUAUAUAAACAUUAGAUUAAGCAUUGCUUUAGUUAAGUGAGAAUUGUAACAGCUUUUCAUAACAGAAAAUACAGAUCUCAUUUCUCUCUCUCUUUCUCUCUCUCUCUCCCUCUCCCUUCGACUUUCUCUGUCAAACACCCAAACCUAACUUUCUUGCCUCCAUGGUUAACAUGGUAUCAGAGCUUCGGCUCUUUGAUUCCUGAUCGUUUUUUGCUUCCGCUCUUCUAUAUCAUAAUCAAUCUCUGAUUGCAUCAAUGGCGAUUCGUUGAAUGCAUAUGUUUUCCUCAAGUCUGAUAUUUCUGCCGAUUUUGCAAGUGUUUGUCGCCAACUUUCUUCGAGCAUUGUUCUUCUUGACUCGAUGAUACAUUCAUCUUUGGUAUGCUGAUUCUGUCCUCAAUUUCAGUUUAAGUUUGAAGCGAUUUCAUUAAAAGCACGAAGCAUGCUCUGUAAUUUCUUGAAGCACGAAGCCGAGUUAUCUGAAGCAAUUUUUCAGUCUUGAAGCACGAAGCAAUUUUUCAAUUCUCUUGAAGCACGAAGCAAUUUCUCUGUUUUCUUGAAGCACGACGUAAUUUCUUGGAUCUGUUUUCUUGGAAGAUCAUCUUUUGAUUUGUUGAAGCAAUUUUUUGAUUCUUUGACUCUAUACUGCCAUGACAAUCACUGCUCCGAAAAUUGAGACUUUAUUAGGUGUUUUGACUAUUAAGUUGAAUGAUGAUAACUUUGUGAAAUGGAACUAUCAAUUGGAGUCUGUUCUUCAAGGAUACGACUUAAAUGGCCAUUUUGAUGGCUCUUCUGUGUGUCCAUCUAAAUACGUUAUCUCUGAGUCAGAAGGAGUCACAACUGAGCUCACUGAGAGCUAUCGUCAAUGGAUUCAAGUUGAUAAAUCCUUGCUAAGUUUGCUUCUUGCAACACUGUCUGAUGAGGCAAUAGAGUAUGUCAUUGGUUGUAAAUCGGCCAGGGAUGCGUGGCUAAGCCUCACUGAUAGAUAUGCCUCUGUUUCAAGAGCUCGUGUCAAUCAACUCAAAACUGAGUUGCACACUAUCCACAAGGGUGGUGAUUCAGUUGAAAAAUUCUUGCUUCGUCUAAAGCACAUACGAGAUCAGUUGGCAGCAGCAGGAUUUAAGCUCUCAGAUGAUGACAUUAUCAUUGCAACUUUAAAUGGAUUACCACAGGAAUUCGACAUGAUCAAGACUGUGCUCAUUGCAAGGGAAACACCUAUAGCUCUUAAGGAGUUCAGAGCUCAGUUGCUGUCUGUUGAAAAGAAUAUUGAAUCCAGAAUGUUAGCAAUGAAUCACUCCAUGACUGGUAUGAUGAGUGUCAGUCCGUUUGAAAUUGGCUCAUCAUCUCAUUCUCAAGAUGCUUCUCAGACUCAGGGUACUGCCUCUACAGUUGGUACCAUCACUCCUCACCCUCAAGCUUCAUUUCCUAUGGGCUUUAAUAGGGAUAAAUCUCAGACCAAUACUUCUCAUGGUGCUUAUCAGUCAUCAGAGUUCUCUCCUUCGUCUUAUCAGCCUAAUAAUACAUCAGGCUCUACCAAUCAGUUUGUUCCUCGCGGUAGAGGCUCUAUCAAUGGUCAAUUCCAUAAUCACAAUAGCAACAGAGGUGGUUUUUCACCAUGGUUCCCUUCUGCUCCGAGAUCACAGGCCAUACCUGAGUGCCAAAUCUGCAAUAAGAGAGGACAUACGGCACCAAACUGUUACUAUAGAAUUCCAGAUAACUCAUCCACACCUAUCCUUGAGUGUCAAAUCUGUGGCAAGAAAGGGCACAUCGCAUUGAACUGUUAUCAUAGAGCCAACUUUGCAUACCAAGGUGCUCCUCCUCCACAGUCUAUUCAGGCUAUGACAACCAAUAUGUCCUAUACUCCAAAUGACCUAUGGAUAGCAGACAGUGGAGCUUCCCAUCACAUGACACCCAAUGUGCAUCAAUUGCAAGCGUCUGCCCCUUACUCUUCUGAAGACAAGAUUACUAUAGGCAAUGGGGAAGGUCUGAGCAUUGACCAUAUUGGCCAUUCUAUUUUAUCCGCCUUACCAGGCACUUUACACUUAAAUAAAGUGUAUCAUGUUCCUAAACUUGCAGCCAAUCUGUUAUCUGUGUAUCAACUAUGCAAGGAUAAUAACUGCAAUGUUAUUUUUUAUGAGUAUCACAUAUACGUGCAGGACAAGCAAACCCACAGGAUUCUGUACAAAGGUCAGAGUGACAAAGGGCUCUAUCCCAUUCCACAAGUUCAUCCUCAACUUUCACAAAUUCACAAGUCACCCUUGGAUUCUUCAAUUUCUGUCAUAGCAAAUAAAGAUGCAGCCAACAAUAAAGCCUUGUCUCUACCUCCAGCAGCACAAGGGAAUUCAAGACCUCAUGCACUCUUGGGUCAACAAGUCAAAACCAAGCUGUGGCAUCUUCGACUGGGCCAUUCUUCCAAUGAUGUUCUUCAUCACAUGUUAAAGGUUUCUAAUAUUCCUUUGUCUGUUGAUUCCACAACUGAGAUGUGUGACUUUUGUUUACAAGGCAAAAUGCACAAAUUGCCUUUUUCUUCCUCUUCUACCACUAGUCUUAGACCAUUUACUAAGCUGCAUACAGAUGUUUGGGGCCCUUCCAAUGUUGCAGCUCUAGGUGGUUAUAGAUACUUUCUCACCAUUAUAGACGAUUGUACACGCUACAUGUGGGUAUUUCCCUUGAUCAAUAAAUCAGAAGUUUCAUCUGUUUUCAUAAAGUUUCAUGCCUAUAUUGUGACUCAUUAUCAAGCUCAAGUUCAGUUUUUGCAAUCUGAUGGUGGUGGUGAAUAUAUUAGUCACAUGUUCAAAGAUUUUCUAGCUUCUAAAGGCAUUCUUCAUCAGCUCUCUUGUCCUUAUACUCCUCAGCAAAAUGGAUUGGCUGAGAGGAAGAAUAGGCAUCUUAUUGAGACUACUCUUGCUCUAUUAACUACAGCUGGGCUAUCUCUUCCCUUUUGGUUUUAUGCUGUGAAUCACGCAGCAUUCCUGAUCAAUCGCAUGCCAAGUCGAGUUCUUAAUAUGCUAUCUCCAUAUUAUAAGUUGUUUGGUGGCCAUCCAGAUUUACUAUCUCUCAAAGUCUUUGGGUCUGCAGUGUAUCCUUUGCUGCGUCCCUAUAAUGCUCACAAGCUUGAACCACGAUCUCAUAAAUGUAUUUUCUUGGGGUAUUCCAUGGGAUAUAAGGGAGUACUGUGUUAUGAUCUGAGAACUCAUAAGGUUCUCAUUUCUAGACAUGUUAUACACAAUGAAGAUGUGUUUCCAUGUAAGACAACCCAAGUUUCGACUCAAAAUCAAGAUCAGUCCUCACUGUCAACCUCUACCUCUCAAUCUACACCAGUGACUGUUAUUUUGGCUUCCAUGCCUCAGAAAUCUCCAUCUGCAUAUGUGCUUAAUUCCUCUACAUCAUCCACCAAUUCUUCUUCAUCUCCAGUUCAUGAUAAUCAGAUGCUGCCAGUUUUCACAGAUGCACAAUUAGAAGUUCUACUUCCUCUUGAGUCUGCAUAUGCACUUAUGGACAAUUCAGGACCACUUCCUGCGCAGGUGCAUCCUGCAAGCCCUAUGAAUAAUCACCCAAUGCAAACUCGUUCCAAGUCUGGUAUUGUGCAAUCCAAGCAAUUCCCAGAAUUUUCCAGCUUUCAUACACAGUUAACUUCCAUUUCAGAACCAGACACACCAUCCUAUUUUAAACAAGCUCUUGGUCAUCCAGCAUGGAAACAAGCCAUGACAGAAGAAAUUCAAGCUCUUGAUCAACAAGGAACCUGGACUCUUGUUCCUCCUCCUCCACAUACAAAUAUUGUGGGCUGUAAAUGGAUCUUUAAGAUCAAAAAGAAUGCAGAUGGCACUAUCUCUCGCUAUAAGGCCAGAUUAGUUGCUCAGGGAUUCAGUCAAGAAUAUGGGUUAGAUUAUGAGGAAACCUUCAGUCCUGUGGUACGUCAUACAACGGUGCGUCUCAUUCUUGGUCUAGCUGUCAAUUUUCAGUGGGAAUUACGGCAGCUGGAUGUGAAAAAUGCCUUUCUUCACGGUGAGCUUCAAGAAGAAGUGUUCAUGAAGCAACCUCAAGGCUUUGUCGAUUCUCAAUAUCCUAAUCAUGUGUGCAAGCUUCAAAAAUCUCUCUACGGCCUGAAGCAAGCUCCUCGUGCAUGGAAUGCAAAAUUCACAGGCUAUUUACCUACCUUGGGUUUUUCAGUUUCACACUCUGAUCCCAGCCUGUUUGUGAAGAAAACUGAAUUUGCUGUUGUCAUCCUAUUACUCUAUGUUGACGAUAUAAUAAUCACAGGUUCUGAUCCUUCACUGGUGACAUCUGUUAUUCAAGCUCUUAGUGAAGUUUUUGAGCUUAAAGAUCUGGGAAAGCUCAAAUAUUUCCUUGGUCUUGAGGUGCAAUACCAGGAGGGAAAAUAUUUGUCAAUCAAGCCAAAUAUGCUAGAGAUCUCAUCAAAAAGGCAUCUAUGGAUACAUGUAAGCCUUGUAGCACCCCUUCUAAACCUCACCAUCAGGUCUUAAAGGAUGAAGGUACUCCACUUCCAAAUCCCACACUCUUUCGAAGCAUUGUAGGUGCUUUGCAAUACUUGACAUUCACAAGACCAGACAUUGCUUUUGCUGUCAACACAGUCUGUCAGUUUAUGCAUAGUCCUACAGAUGUUCACCUUAGCCUAGUUAAACGUAUUAUCAGGUACUUGCAAGGCACAUUGCAGUUUGGUGUCACGUUUUCUCCAGGAUCCAUGGUCUUAUCUGGAUAUUGUGAUGCCGAUUGGGCUGGUGAUCCCAAUACUCGCAGAUCCACCACAGGAUAUGUUGUUUUCCUCGGUUCCAAUCCGAUUUCUUGGUCCUCCAAGAAGCAGGCUUCUGUUUCUCGCAGCUCUACAGAAGCAGAAUAUCGAGCACUUGCUCACUGUGCUGCAGAUAUCUCAUGGAUACGACAAGUCUUGUGCGAUUUGCAUAUGAUAGUUCCUGAAGCUCCUCUCCUACACAGCGACAACUUGUCUGCUCUAGCUCUCAGUGCAAACCCUGUUUUUCAUUCUCGCAUCAAACACCUGGAUGUGGAUUUUCACUUCAUUAGAGAGCGUGUUCAAAGUAAAGAUCUCAUUGUCCAAUAUGUUCCCACAGAUGAACAGGUUGCUGAUAUUUUGACAAAAGGCCUUCAUAGUCCAAUAUUCAUCAAACAUUGCUCCAAUCUCAGCCUUGGCUCUUCCCCAGCUGAGCUUGAGGGGGGGUGUUAACAAUAUAUGAGCUGGAGGUGUUAACAAUAUAUGAGCUGGAGAGUGGUCACGUGCUUCUCAGUGUAUAACUCGUGAUUGUUAGUUAGGCUUGUUAGCUAGGCUACUUAGUAGAAGUUGUCAGCUAUAUAAACAUUAGAUUAAGCAUUGCUUUAGUUAAGUGAGAAUUGUAACAGCUUUUCAUAACAGAAAAUACAGAUCUCAUUUCUCUCUCUCUUUCUCUCUCUCUCUCUCCCUCUCCCUUCGACUUUCUCUGUCAAACACCCAAACCUAACUUUCUUGCCUCCAUGGUUAACAGAUGUUAGGUUAAAACAUUCCUUGUUUACUUUUAUUAGUGAUUCCAAAGUGAGAGGUAGAUAAGUCUCAGCAGAAGAACAAGUUCUCAUUUUCUUGAAGUCUUUUCUGAAUGCUCAAAUUUUGCAGUUUUGAUGAGCGUCUUGCUACACAGAGAAAAGAGAAAGAAAUGGCAACAGCCGAACUUGGGUUUAAAAAGCCAUUGAGCAAGGAGGAAAAGAUAGUGAACAAGAAGGAAAGGCUAGCUGCAAUUGGUAAUUCACCUGGUUUAAAAUUUAGCAUCCAUGAUACGGCACUAUACCUGACUAUAGUUAUGGAAUUUCUCAACCAACUAUUUGAUUUGGAGUCUCAACUCAGUUUGCAAUCAAUAGCAUGAUAGGCAUUAGAGUUUAAGUCAAGUCCUGCGUUUAAAGACAUUUUUUUGCGGAUAGAAAUAAUUGUAUAUUCCUUUAACGUGUCCAGCUUCUUGUUUAGUUUAGUAAUAAGAACCUGACAGCUUUCUCAUGGCUGAUCAUUUAUACUGGGAACAGUUCAUUGCAUGUCGAGUUUGAGACAAAGUCAGGAAAGUCUCUAGGAUUAACAAGUAGUUUAAAAGACUUCUAAGUCCAUAUGUAUGUAUGAGUUAGUAUGUAAUGUGGCCCUCUUACUUUAUUUGGUUUACAAUUGAAUAUGUAAAUUAACGAACACUGGAUCCUCUAUUCAUAUCUCAAAUAUUUUCUGAUUUGGUUAGACUUUAUUUGGUUUAUCAUACCUAUGAUGCAAAUGAAAUGAUGUUGUUAUUGACUUCCAAUAAGUGGUAUGAACAGUUGUUAUAUUGUUCAUACCUUGAAACUGAGUUGAUUUCUAUGACAUAGUAUUAACAGUGUACUUCUAUGACAUAGCAUUAACAGAAUUUCAGUAACAAAGCAUGCUCUAUAUAAUUUGCUAUAUAUAUAGUUGUGCACUUGAAGUUUAUGAUAUGUAGAAUGUGAUUUUUACUAGGAAGAUAGUUCUAUGACAUAGUAUUAACAGUAUACAUUUUUUUUUCUUCUUGUAGAGGCAUUUCCUUUUGCUUUUGCGAUUAUUUCUAGUGAAACUGUGGACAAUUGGCGGUGGUUUCCGCAAAGGAUAUUGGAUGUCUUGUUAGGCUUUUUUGGGUUUUUUUUUGUUGAGUUUUUUGUAUGAAAUGGUAUUAACAAUGUUUUUCUAUGAGAUGAUAUUAACAAUAUACUUCUAUGACAUGGUAUUAACAAUGCACUUUGGGCUUGCUGGGCUUGUUUUGGCUUUUUUUUUAGUUUUUUGUAUUGGGCUUGUUUUAAGUUAAUCAGUGGCAGUUAUGUAAUUUAUAGGAACUUCAACACUCAUUUCUAUUUUAGUAAAUGAGUUUUUGGUGUGUUUCUAAAGUGCAUUCCAUGUGGGUUUUUUUUAUAAUAUCAGCCCUUAUUUUGGGUAUAUUACUAAAGCUCCCGUAAUUUAAUUGAAGAUGAUGACUUUGAGGAAGAUGUUGAAUCUUGUUUUGUUCCAGAUUCUGUUGGAAGUUGAUGACAUUGAGGAAGCAUUGAAUCUUUUGGAUCAAGCCAGUUCAGAACGCAAUAAACUUGAUACCUUGCUAUUUAAUACCAUUCUUGAAAAACCUGUGAAAAGGUAUCUCAUAAGAUCAAAAGAGCAGUACGGUUCUCGAUAUACAUGAUUAUAAUUUGAUCAGCCACAAAAAUUGUGGUUGCAUUAUUCGUUAGUAAUAUAUAUAUUUUUUCUCCCCUGCAAUGAAUGUCAGGAAGUGAUUGAGUGGAUGCACCAACAGAAAGUCCAGCCAGAUCCAGUGACCUGCCAUUUUGUUUUCACUGCAUAUUCCAACAGUGGUUUUCACAGCACGGCCAUGGAAGCACUGCAGGUUUUGAGUAUGCACAUUAUAUGUGAAGAAGAUGGCAGCUUUCCAGAAAAGGCAGAAUUUGAGGAUGACUUCAUCUUUGCUGAAGACAUGGAAGCUGAAUCACGAAUAGUACAGCUUUUUAAAGAUUCUGAAGAGAACCUUGCUGUUGCCCUUUUGAAUCUAAGAUGGUGCGCCGCGCUUGGUUUCCCAAUUUCAUGGUCACCUAAUCAAAGCCCAUGGUCCAGAAGACGGUCAUCUAACUACACCGCCAGGAAAGGAGCCACCUAAUCAUGAGAUAUAUAUAUAUAGGUGGCAUUAUGACUCCAGUGAGUUUCCCUUUAUUAUUAUUAUUAUUUUUUGUUGUGGUCGAACGAAGUGUAAGGCCUCCUCAGGGAGGAAGGGGAGAGGGUGAGAGGCACAGAUGAGGUCUUGAUGAGGGUGUUAAAUACCUAGUGCAACUAACUAAUGUUGAAUGAAAAAAGAAAGACCUCCGAUGUAUUAGAUUUGUAUUAGGUGAUGCCCUUUUAUCUUUUUUGUUUCAUUACGUUAUUUUGUAAGUUACUGCUUGUAUAUUUAAAAGGUGAAAUCAUGCUGCAGCUCUCAAACAAAAUCAACCGUGCCUGGUAGCAGGAGGAGGCAUGUUUCCGCAAGGGAGGAGAAUUUCUCUACAGCUUAGAAUGAGUUGCUCUCUCUCUAGGGAUUUAUCAUUCACAAUUUAUGGAUUAAACGACAUUACAAAUUAUAGUUGUCGAGUUUUCAUAUUUUUGCAUGAAAACGAUAAUUGGAUUAAUUAACAAGAUGAAUGUUUACAUCUCUCAAUUUAAACAACUAAACUAUCACUCAAUCAUUAACUAAGUACAACCAAAAGAUGAAUAAUGAAGGGAAUUAACCUCAUUCUUGGCAGAUAUCUGAAUUUAAUUCAUAUCAUGACAAUACAAACUGCUUUCACAAGACGGCACCAAUUUCAAAAGCCAUAAGGAAAUUUGAGAGUUACAAUUACCUAAAUUCAUCACAUGUACAACUGAGUCACUUGUAUAAUCAAAGUCAGGAUGUCUAAUCAGUUUCUUCUUUUAAUCACUGCAUAUCCAUGAAGGAAAAAUAAGAAACAAAACUGAAUGUUAUUAUCAUGUGAACAUACCAACAACAAAACAAUGUUAGGAUCAAGGGCUCAUCAUCUAAUACAUACAUACCACUUUCUUGGUGACCUGUUGUUGCACAAUCACAAUCAAGCCAUAAGAAUUUUUAAUGGGGACCCAAUCUCCACUGACCAAACCCUUAAAAAGAAUAGUCUUCAGAAUCAUCUGAAAAAGAAAAAUAAACGAGCUGAGGUUGGUUGCCAUUUGAAUGAAAGUGUGAAUGCAAAAGAAAGAAAUUAGUUAGAAAAACGCACAAAUGCUUAUCUCUGGGAUGUGAGCAAUCUUGGACCAGUCCUCGCCUGUUUCUUUCUGGUAUUUUUGCUUUAAGAUGGGGCAAUUCUCAAUUAUCAACUUUUUUAAUGAGGCGAGGCAAAGAAGCCCUUCUGGGAGUGAUGCCAAAUUAGGGCAAGCCCAUAUCCCAAGCAACUGAAGUGAUUUAAAGUUGCCCAUCCCUUCUGGUAGUGAGGCCAAUUUCGUGCAAUCCGAAAUUCUGAGAUUAACAAUAUUUGUGAGAGAAUGAAACCAACUCGCAAACCUCGCACCCAUAUAGAACUCCAGCGUUAAAUCUUUUAGACUUGAAUGGGGCUGCAGCGCUUCCAUUGACUUAAUAAUUACAUCACUCUCCUCCUCAACCGCAUCACUAUUUUCUCUUUCGAUGUGCAUCCAAUGUAAAGUCAAUGAAUAGAGAUGUCGUUUCUCCUUCAAAAUUGCAUCAUCAUAAUUCAAUUCUGACAUCAUAUCUUUCUUGUGCCUCAAAUUUCUGCUAUUCAACUUUCCUCUUAAAUCCUUCAGCCUCCCUAACUCAUUAAGCCCUGCACGAUCCCUCAACAUGGAAUUGUCUAUGCUCAAAACAAAUCUACUCAAAGUACGAAGACAAAUCAAUUCACCCAAUCCACGAGGAAUCCAAGCCAAUUGAUAACAUUGUCUCAAAAUGAGAUGCCUCAAGUUGAUCAAUUUAUUGAUAUCUCAAGGCAAUUCCACAAGAGAUUCACAUCUUGACAGAUUUAGUGUUUCCAAAUUUUGAAAUUUGACUAUCCAAUUUGGAAGUCUCACAAUGGCAUUAACACUAAGAUCAAGAUAUCUUAAAUGUUUCAUUUUCCUAAGACAUUUUGGCAAUUUUGGAAUUCGCAAACCAUUCAAACUCAAUAUACGCAAUGACUUCAAAUUUAAAGCAAUUGUUGCACAAAAUGACUUAUGCAAUGGCCUAUGGAUUGACUUCAUGAAUUUAUUCCUCCACUGAUCUUGGCGUAGGAGAAGAAAAGUCCUUAGCUUAUUUGAUUCCAGCAAGGAUGUUGGUAUUUUCGAUUCCGAUUCUGAAUCCGAUUCCGAUUCCGAUUCCGAAAAAUCAACAUCAAAAUCGAAAGAUACAUGAAGAAGACGUUUUGCAUCAAAAUCAGUCUUAUUGCGAUCUAUUAUUCUGCUUCCCUCCCCUGCCACUUUAACAGCAAGUUCAUUCAUGAGAUCAUGCAUUUUACAGCUUCUUAUUAUACCAAACUCAUCUUUUUCUUCUUCUUGGAAAAAAGAUCUCCAAACUAGUUCGUUAUAAUAUUCAUAACCAACAUCUUCCAAGCACUCAUUAGGAUUUGAAGACUUAACGAACCCUUGUGCCACCCACAACCUAAUUAAUUUCUCUACGGGAAUCUUAUAAUCAGGCGGGAACAAACUACAAUAAGCAAAACAAUGUUUCAAAUGUGAUGGGAGAACAUCAUAACUCAGCUGAAGUGUUGGAAAAAUAUCAUUUUCUUCUUGCCUUAUUGUUGAAAGCUUGUUAUUCUUGAAAGCCGACCACUCAGUUUCUGGAUCUCUAGUGUACAACAUCCGUCCUAUGGUCCUUAUAGCAAGCGGAACCCCCUUACAUUUUCUAGCAAUCUCCUCCCCAAGGGCCUUAAUGGUUGAACUCGUUGGCUCUUUUCCAUCUUGGAAUGCCAUUUUCUUAAACAAAAACCAAGACUGCUCUUCACUUAAACCCCUUAAGUUAUAUGGUUUAGAUGUGUCUGUUAUUUUUGCAACUUUUUCACUACGAGUAGUUAUUAGUAUUUUACUACCUUUUCCACCACCCAUCAACAAGUUUUGCAAGCCAAACCAUUUUUCACGAUUAUCAUUCCAUACAUCGUCCAACACAAGGAGGUAUCUCUUCCCAUCUAUUAUUUUCCUCAGUUCUUUUUGCAACAGAUCAAUCUCAAGGCUUUUGGCUAUGUUAUUAGUUGCAGAUUGAAUGAUUUGCUUAACAAGUAUAUACAGCUCAAAUACAUUUGACACACAUAUCCACAUUUUCAGCUCAAAAUAAGUUUGGACCUCUAGAUCGUUGAAUACGAGUUGGGCAAGUGCAGUUUUUCCCAAUCCUCCAAAUCCGACUAUGGAAAUGAUUGAUACAUUCUCUUCAGAGAUGGUAUCAAACAAGAGUUGUUUAAUUGCAUUUUUAUCUUCAUUUCUCCCUAUAAUAGUUUCCGUAGGGGCAAAAGAGUGAGUUACCCUUCUAAAUCGUGUAUCUUCACGACUCACUUCUAAGUGAAAGUUUCUACGAGAUGCAAUCACAUUAAGUCUCUCCUUAAUACUUUUAAUCUUAUGACCCAUCUUUAGCCGAAAAGCAAGCUGGUUUGAGCUAGAGAAGAAGAUGCAUACCUGCUUUAACACGUGAUUAUUUCCAGGCAUCAUUUGUCUCCACUGUGCUUCAGCAUAAAAUUCAUCUAGCACGUCAUCAGCUUCAUCAACAACAUCUUCUAGGCUUUGAAGCCACAAUUUGACUGCAUGAGUCGCUUGCUUUUGCUCUGCAUCAAGAAGAACAGCUUGGAUUUGGGCAACUGUCUCCUGAAGCUUCAGGAGCUCAUCUUUGACACCCCAAAUCAAUCCCAUCUCUUGGAAUGCACGGGAGGUCAACCUGUCAAUGAUCCCUUCUGCAAAGUUGAAGAGGACUCCUUCUGCCAUUGCCUUGAUGCAGAAUAAAAGCAGAGGUGAAUUAGUUACAAUAACUUCAAGUGUUUGUUUCGAAUGGUGAUCGUGGAAAAUGGAUCAUCAUGGCUAGUUUUUAUAUAAGGCCCUGUAAUUGGCAUCUUUCAAGUAAAUAUUGGUUAGGCAAGGCAUAUGAUUCUAGCCUACUAUGUAAGUCUAAAGAAUUUGUUGCUAGCAAGCAAAGAUUGGUAAUAGAAUUAGGAUAACACUCGAUCUCAAGUAAAGCAUUUGGAGAUUAGUGAAGGACAUAUGCCUUGCCUCCCUUAAUUAGCAUAUGAUUCUAACCUAAACUUCCUACAAGUUUGUACCACCCAUAUACUAUUCCCUAAAAGAUGCACCACAUGACCAUACUUAUUUAAGCUUCCUUCUCAUUGGAGAAAUAUAGAGAAACUUUACCGCGUAUUGAAGUAAAGAAUAAAUCCUACCUAAAACUUAUUUCUCUGUCUGUGGGUCGGAUCUGAUUCUUGCCACUGGCCUAAGAUUGCUCACAUCCAAAUACCAUGUACGUUGAUAUUUAUACGUCUAAAAAUCAAGAUUCAAAGCUUGGUGCUUCCGUUUGCUAACUUGUUCUACUUAACACUUGUUGGACUUAUCAGAUAUGCCAACCUCACUUGUUGAUUUUCUUCUUUGUUGAUUCAUAUGACAUACGAUCGGUUCCACCCAAAAACUAAAGACAUACCAUCUGGUACAUCUCAACCAAAGAUGAUUUGGUAGGAAAAUAUGGCACAUUAUGGUAGUAUGGUUACGUGGUACAUCUUGUGCAUGCAUUAUAAUAUGAGUGGACGACAACGUUUAUUUUCCUCCCUUUUAGGGAAUAGUAUCAAUAAAUAUCCACUUAUAUUAUAGCACGUGUACAAGAUGUACCACGUACGUAUCACUCUAGCUCUAGAGAGAAUUAAUUAAUUUCCAACGGCUUCUUUGUUUUCAAAAGUAACCACAUUCUAAGGCACUCUAUAACAAGUGUAUUACUUGUUUAUCCAUCUUUAUUCCUCCAACAAUUAACCAUAAAUGAAACAACAAUUUCACUAUUUUGGUAAUAAUACUUUUUUUUAAAAUACAAAACAAUAUCGAUCAAACAAAGUAAGGAAUUUUGGAGGAAGAACCAAAUUGGGUCAGCCCAACAUUGCUUUGUUGCUGAAAGAAAUUUUUAAGUGGGGAGUUCACUUUAAAUCCGCUGAUCAACUUGAGCUUGAGGAGGUUCUUGUCCCAAGGUUGCUUUCAUGUUUAUGAAAGGGGACUUGUGAAUUGAUAUUCAUAUUAAAGCACGCCAAUUACCAAUUAUUUAUUUGGGUAGUUGUUAAUUAAUUUAGAAAAGUGGAAAGUUUGCUAGGUUAAUAAGAGUAAAUCAGGAAAAAUCUUAUUGAAGUAUUGUUUCUCUCUCAUAAUAAUGUUAUCAAAUAAAUACAAAAAUAAAGAAUUAAUCAUAGUUAAACCCAUGGACAUGUGUCAACUUUUGAGAGGGAUAGUGAGGAUACACCUAGGGUUAAGGUGGUGAGCAAAAAUGCACCCUCUUUUUAAUAAUAGAUUACGUAUUUAAUUUAGUUAAUCUGCUAUACACUUUGUUUUUUUUUUAAUGUUUUAUACAUACGAGUAUUUAAUAAGUAAUAAAUAACAAAUAUAUAUUAUACUAUUUAUUUGUAAGUAUCAUGCUAUUUUUUCACUAUAAUAUGUAUUUUCAUAUAUUUUUUAUUAUGCUUUGAAAUGCCUAAAAAGCUUAUGCUUCGAGGCUUACGCCUUGUCUCACGGGAGGUAACGCUUUAGCGAUUUAAAACACUGAUUAGGAUAUGUUUUUUUGUUUUCUUAUUUUCGUCAUCUUAUGAAAGUUUCAUCUGUUUUAUGCUCAGUUUUACUUCUCCAGCGCUUGGAAGCUUUUUUCAUGUUUGUCUCCAGUAAAUUCAAAUAUUGUUGCAUGAACUAUGCAGGAUCAACUUGAACGAGCAGUGCAGAUGUUGGCUAAAAUGAAACAAUUAAAAGUUGUGCCUGAUAUUAGGACAUACGAGCUGCUGUUUUCGUUAUUUGGUAACGUGAAUGCCCCAUACGAAGAGGGCAACAUGUCGUUGUUGGCGUGACUUGUGGAUAUUGACUUACUUUCCUUACACACCAAGAAUUCCUAUUAUAAUUGUAAUUGAUUUACUUUAAUUCCUGAUUUCCUACUGCAAAUAGAUUUAGGAAUUUAUUAUUUACUUGCCCAUUCAGGUUUCGUUGUAUUAUAAAUAUAACCUCCUACAAGGAGAAGAAUACACAGAAAAUUCCCACAAACAAAUAUUCUCUCAUAGUUUUCAUAUUUUAGCAUGGUAUCAGAGCGGCAAUCUUGGAAUUGCUGACUCUAGUUUCAAACCCCCGCCGCUGCUAUGGGGGUUGAUGAUUUUUUCAACCCUCAUGGAGGUAGCACCACCGACUCCUUCUCUCAUUCUCCACCAACCAUCGUUGAGUUGAGUGCCCAGAUGGCUCCGCUCCUACAGAUGCAGAAUUUGACCCCGAACCCGAUCCAGAAUCAGGAUCCUCUUUUGACGACCCCGACUAUGACGACGAUGACCCCGACCCCGACUCCGAAGACGACCCCGACCCCCACUCCGAUGAUGACCCCAACCCCGAAUUUGUCUCUGAUUCAGACCCUGAUCCCGAUUUCGACUCCGACUCCGGUCCCGACUCAGGCUCAGAUUCCGAUCCCAAUUCCUACUCAACCUGUAUCCUAUGCAUCUUCCGCUGCACAGAUUAUGACUUCUAGACUAACGACCCCGACACAUGGACCAGAUUGCGCAUAUUGUGGUGAUCCGAGACACACUUGUGAGACUUGUUUUAAAUCGCAUGGCUACCCCAAUUGGUGGGCUACUCUUAUAGAUCGAGGACAAUGCAAUAUGACUAGUAAUGGUACUGGUUAUGGAUUCCAUACUUCCGAUAAGAUUGAUUCCAGGAGCUGGAUAAUUGAUUCUGGUGCAACUGAUCAUAUGACGUUUGAUCCUGAUGACUUUCUGAAUACUACACAACCUCGACGAACCUGUAUUGCAAAUGCCAAUGGUGUUACUUAUCCUGUGACAGGGGCUGGCACUGUUGCACUCUCAUCCUCUCUCACACUGUCUAAUACUUUACUUGUUCCAUCUUUAUCCACUAAAUCGUUGUCAGUUAGUCAGCUUACUGAACAAUUGAAUUGUUGUGUACUCAUUUACCCGAGUUUUUGUUUGCUUCAGGAUAUUCACACUAAGGAGAUUCUUGGUCGUGGUACUAAGAGAGGGGGGCUAUAUUAUGUCGAUGACUUCAGUCCCGGCAUGGUUAACAGCGUGACACAUCCCUUUGAUAGCAAACAAAAGCAAAUCUGGUUGUGGCACCGUCGAUUGGGACAUCCUUCUUUUAGUUAUAUGAAGCAUCUUAUACCAGAUUUAUUCUCAGGUUUCAAGGACUCUGACUUCACAUGUGAUACUUGUAUUUUGGCCAAGAGUCACCGUGUGCCUUACCCGUUGAGUACGAACAAGUGUACUACUCCAUUUAUGUUAAUUCACUCUGAUGUCUGGGGACCUUCUCCUAUCACUGCUCCUUCUGAUGUUCGAUGGUUUGUGACAUUCAUCGAUGAUUGUACACGGAUGACAUGACUUUAUUUGCUGAAGAAUAAAAACGAAGUAUUUUCCUGUUUUCAGUCCUUCCACAAACAGAUGAAAACUCAGUUUAAUGCUCAAAUCCAGAUUCUUCGCUCAGACAAUGGUGGAGAAUUUGUCAAUGAUGACUUUCAGACUUACUUCCAACAACAUGGAAUUAUCCAUGAGACGACUUGUCCUCAGACACCACAACAAAAUGGUGUUGCUGAACGGAAGAAUCGACAUCUUCUUGAAACCGCUCGAGCACUUCUGAUUGGCGCUCAUGUUCCUCGCAAUCACUGGGAUGAUGUUAUUGUCACCGCAGUUCAUCUGAUCAACCGCAUGCCUUCUGGUGUACUGACCUUUAAAACUCCCUUACAGGUGCUUGCACAACACAGACCUCUGCCUUCUGUUUUGGUACUCACACCCCGAAUCUUUGGAUGUGUGGCUUUCGUUCAUCUCCACAAAAAUCUACGUAGCAAACUUGAUCCAUGUGCGCUUCGUUGUGUUUUUGUGGGUUAUGCCACUCAUCAGAAAGGCUACCGCUGUUAUCACCCUCCUACCCAACGAACCUAUGUCAUUUUGGAUGUGACCUUUAUGGAAUCUGAGCUGUUCUUCCAUGACCCAUCAUCCAAUUCUACACUUAAGGGGGAGAUACGAAGUGAAGAGCAGAGUUGGAGCAACUUGGAAAAUAAAGAAAUUCUCCUUUGUACAGAAAUGAUUGAUCAUUCCAAGUCUGGAGCACGAGAUUACUCUCUGUCGAAAAGCGACCAAUCGCCAAUUCAUAACGAUCAAUUGCCUGACCCACCUAAUCCAUGCGAAGAUAUUUCUGAUCCGAGUCUCACACCUACAGACAAUACAGAACAACAAGAUGAAGACCCCCCUCUAACUCAACAGUACCAACAGACCAAUCUCCUGAGAAUAUCCUUGAGGUAACUACUCCUACUAGACUUGUGCAUUUAGAUGAUAAAACUAUUGGAUAUCAAUUACCUUUCAGGCAAAAUCGUGGGAAGCCACCAAACCGUUAUUCACCUGAUAUUGGCAAGACAUCCAAGUAUCCAAUUGCAAAUCAUGUAUCCACUGAGAAGCUGUCUAAACCACUCAAGGUUUUUGUGCAUCAGUUCUCUGCUAUCCAUAUUCCAACCAAGGUCUCUGAAGCAUUGAAAGAUCCUAAGUGGGUCCAAGCUAUAAAAGAUGAGAUGAAAGCCCUUGAGAAAAAUCAGACUUGGAUAUUGGAGACUAUACCCCGAGGAAAAAAGACUAUCGGAUGUAGAUGGGUGUUUACUAUAAAACACAAUGCAGAUGGAUCUAUCGAGCGAUACAAGGCAAGACUUGUAGCAAAAGGGUACACACAGACCUAUGGUAUAGACUAUGAAGAAACCUUUGCUCCAGUUGCAAAGUUAAACACCGUCAGAGUCUUAUUGUCCCUUGCAGCUAAUUUGGAUUGGCCACUACACCAAUUUGAUGUAAAGAAUGCUUUUCUACAUGGCGAACUCACGAAGGAGGUGUACAUGGACAUUCCUCCUGGAUAUAAUACUACUCAGACUGGAACAGUUUGCAAGUUACGAAAAGCAUUGUAUGGAUUGAAACAGUCACCACGUGCAUGGUUUGGACGGUUCACCAUGGCAAUGAAGAACAAUGGUUUCAAACAGUGCAACUCAGAUCAUACUCUGUUCUUGAAACAUCGAAAAGGGAAGGUAACAGCAUUAAUAAUCUAUGUUGAUGAUAUGAUUAUUACUGGAAAUGAUAAACAGGUAAUAUCACAGCUACAAGACUAUCUAGCUACGGAGUUUGAGAUGAAGGAUCUAGGUGGACUCAAGUAUUUCUUGGGAAUUGAGGUGGCUCGAUCGCAGCAAGGCAUAUUUCUCUCUCAAAGGAAAUAUGUCUUAGACUUGUUGACAGACACAGGAAUGCUAGAUUGUAAACCUGCGGACACUCCUAUUGUUCAGAAUCAUCAUCUUGGAGAAUAUCCGGAUCAAGUUUCAACUAACAAAGAAAGAUACCAAAGGUUAGUGGGAAGAUUGAUCUAUUUGUCACAUACUCGACCAGACAUUGCUUAUGCGGUGAGCGUUGUCAGUCAAUUUAUGCACUCUCCAAGUGAAGACCAUAUGAAUGCAGUUCUUCAGAUACUUAGAUAUUUGAAGUUUGCACCUGGAAAAGGACUUAUGUUCUCAAAGCAUGGUCAUCUAAAUAUUGAUGGUUAUUCAGAUGCAGAUUGGGCAGGUAAUGUAACAGAUAGAAAAUCCACAUCAGGUUACUUCACAUUCGUGGGAGGUAAUUUGGUGACAUGGAGAAGCAAGAAACAAAAUGUAGUAGCUUUAUCCAGUGCAGAAGCCGAGUUCAGAGGCAUGACUAAAGGGAUUUGUGAACUUCUUUAGUUAAGAAAGUUGCUUACUGAACUUGGGUAUAAACCUACAUCCACAAUGAAUCUCUUUUGUGACAACAAGGCUGCUAUAGCCAUUGCACAGAAUCCGGUUUAGCAUGAUCGUACUAGACAUGUUGAGGUGGAUCGACACUUCAUCAAACAAAAGCUUGAGGCUAAAGUGUUUCAGUUUCCUUUUGUGAAAUCCGAGGAUCAAUUGGCGGAUAUUUUGACAAAGAUGAUUUCCAGUAAAGCAUUCCACAAUUCACUAGAUCAGUUGGGCAUUGGCGACAUCUAUGCACCAACGUGAGGGGGAGUGUUGGCGUGACUUGUGGAUAUUGACUUACUUUCCUUACACACCAAGAAUUCCUAUUAUAAUUGUAAUUGAUUUACUUUAAUUCCUGAUUUCCUACUGCAAAUAGAUUUAGGAAUUUAUUAUUUACUUGCCCAUUCAGGUUUCGUUGUAUUAUAAAUAUGACCUCCUACAAGGAGAAGAAUACACAGAAAAUUCCCACAAACAAAUAUUCUCUCAUAGUUUUCAUAUUUUAGCAGUUGUCACAGGUGGAUGCUGCUAAACGCAUUAAUGCUAUAGAAAUGGAUAUGGCAAGAUAUGGUAUUCAGCACAGUUAUUUAAAGACGUACGUCAUAUGCAUCAUUACUUUUUCGAGGAUAUUGUUUCCAUGCCCCUUAGGCCCGGUAUCUGUAGCAUUUCCUUGAGCUUGCACAUCAAAGCUUGUGGAAAUAUCAAAAAAGUAUUGAUAUUUUUUGCAUAAAUAUUGAUUGAUUAUUUGAGAUCAAUAUACAACUUGUGUUGUCUUCUAGAAGCUUAUUUGCUUGGAAACAGUAAAACUUGUGUUCUUUGUACCAGCUUCCUUUCUGCAACAUGCCACCAAGGGGUCUGUCGUUAUUUUAUUUAUUUUUCCUUAUCUAGAACCCUACUCUAGCAUUCUUUCCUUUUCUUUUCCUUCUUUUCCCGUCCCACUAGCCUCAUCUAUAACAUUCAAUUUUUGUUUUUCCAGUUGAAAGCGCUUGGAGCAGAGGGGAUGAUAAGAGAGCUGAUCCAGUAUUUGGACGUUGCAGAGAAUAUAUUUUGUCGUAAUAACAUUUAUCUGGGAACACCUAUUUAUAAUACGGUGCUGCAUUCACUUGUUGAGGCUAAGGAAGUAGGUGUUUUCAUCACCAUUGGUUUUCCUUUCAUUUGCAACUUCAUGAUAUGUGAAAUAUUGGACCAGUGUUCAUCUACUUUUCUCUUUCUGAUUUCAUGCAGAAUCAAAGGGCAAUUAAGAUAUUUAAAAAUAUGAAGUCAUUUGGUUUCCCGGCAGAUGCUGCGACUUAUCAUAUAAUGAUUGAUUGUUGUAGCAUUCUAGGAUGUUACAGAUCUGCUUGCGCAUUGGUCUCCAUGAUGUUGCGAGAUGGCUUUUAUCCACUAACAGUGACUUACACCAUUCUCAUAAAGGUAGCUUUAAUAUUAUGAUUACUCAGGCUGAAUUAUCAUGCAUCUUGGGAAACUGCUACCAUUUGUGUAUGUGAUCGAAAAGUGUAAUUUUUCCAACUCUUGUUGUGCAAACUAGUCAUUUUAGUUCUGCUUUGUUUACAUAAAAACCCCUUCCUUCAUCCUUCUUCAUGCUUUUUUAUUAUUAUUAUUUUUUUCUGACUAGAGUAUUUGCAAUAUAUGAAUGCACUUAAUUUCUUCUUCUUCUUUCUUUUCUUCUUUUUUUUUUUUUUUGGGUCUGAAAAUGCACGUCAUUUCAAGUUGAAUAGAUAAGCUAUAGAAAUUAUUCGAUAGCCCAUUGCAUGAUGACAUUUUUGGAUGAAGUAAGAACUCUUACAAAAAGAGAAUUUUUUGUUGUCCUCAUAAGUUUCAUUUAUGGAAAGUUCAAAUAUUUAUAAAGAUAUUUAAAUGAAGACAAUUAGUGAGUUCAUUUUUUAAAAAUGAAAAAGAAAACAGAAGGGAAGUUACAUUUUUGUCUUCUCUGAAAUAUAAGUAAUUUAAUUAAAGAUGAUGACUUUGAGGAAUAUCCUAAGAAGGUUUGAGCAAACAUAUCGUUUCAUUUUAAAUGAAACUCAUAAGCAUUGAAUCUUUUGGAUCAAGCCAGUUCAGAACGCAAUGAACUUGAUACCUUGCUAUUUAAUACCAUUCUUGAAAAAGCCUGUGAAAAGGUAUCUCAUAAGAUGGUUCUCGAUAUACAUGAUUAUAAUUUGAUCAAGCACAAAAAUUGUGGUUGCAUUAUUUGUUAGUAAUAUAUUUUUCUUUUCCCCUGCAAUAAAUGUCAGGAAGUGAUUGAGGUAGUUGAAUUUGUCGUUGAGUGGAUGCACCAAGAAAAAGUCCAGCCGGAUCCAGCGACCUGCCAUUUUGUUUUCUCUGCAUAUGCCAACAGUGGUUUUCACAGCACGGCCAUGGAAGCACUGCAGGUUUUGAGUAUGCGCAUGAUAUGUGAAGAAGAUGGCAGCUUUCCAGAAAAGGCAGAAUUUGAGGAUGACUUCAUCUUUGAUAGAAUUCAUAGAUUUUGGAUGUGUUUGGGAGAGAAAUGAGAGAGCGUUGCUCUCUGUGUAAGAACAGAAAAAAGAAAUUGAAGAAAAAAUGAAGUCAGCUAUUUUUCAUUGUAUACCAAAGAAAAAAGAUAUAUCCGUUGAGGAGAGAGAAGAGAGAUUCUUCUCUAACUGCCUCAAUACAAAACUCAAUCCUAGCCAUUGAACUAUCAUCCUAUAAGAUGAUUACACUUGUCUCAAUCUAAACCCUCACUUAAAGAGCCACUUGGAUUCUAAUCCAAGGGUCCUUAUUACAAGCAGCAGAAACUAAAGUUUUUAAAAGAAAAUCUAAACAACAGAAACAUUUAAGUGAACUGGAAAUAGGCGGCAAAGAGGAUUUUUUUUUUUUUUGGCUCAGCUCAAAGGGUUACACAUCAACACUCCCUUCUAACCCUUUGACUGAUUUAACUCCAAGCAAAUCUCUGAGGUACACAAAACGUUCCUUGGAUAAAGCCUUGGUUAGAAUGUCUGCAAUUUGAUCUUCAGAUUUGCAGUAGAUUAGCUCAAUUUCCUUUGCUUGGAUAGCUUCUCGGAUGAAAUGAAAUUUCCUGCUUAUGUGCCUGGAUUUCUGAUGAAAGACAGGAUUCUUUGCCAUUGCUAUGGCAGAUGUGUUAUCACACAGAAUUGGUGUGCCUUCCACUUGCUCCUCUCCAAAAUCUUCAAGUAUAAACCUUAGCCAUUUAGCUUGUGAUGUUGCUUCAGCAGCACUCACAUAUUCUGCUUCAGCAGUAGACAGAGCUACUGUAUUUUGUUUGAUUGAGGCCCAAGAAAACAUGCCAGAUCCCAGAGUGAACACAUAUCCUGAUGUACUUCUUCUGUCAUCUUCACUGCCUGCCCAGUCACUGUCACAGUAGCCAAUUAAGGUAGCUGCCUUGCCCUUUUUAUACUCAACUCCAUAUUCAAGUGUGCCUUGAACAUACCUCAACACUCUUUUGGCUGUUCCCAUGUGCUUUCUAGUAGGAUUAUGCAUAAAUCUAGCAAGCAGACUUGAGGCAAACAUGAUGUCUGGUCUUGUAGCUGUCAGAUACAGCAGGCUGCCUACAAUCUGUCUAUAUUCACUCUCAUCUGCCAUCUCACUUCCAUCUUCUUUGCACAGCCUUUCAUUUGCUACCAAGGGGGUUGCCACUGAUUUACAGCCUUUUAAACCAAAUUUCUCAACCACUUUCAUUGCAUACUUCUUCUGAUGGAGAAAUAUGUAUUUCUCAGUCUGCACAACUCCCAUGCCAAGAAAAUGAUAGAGUAGCCCGAGAUCAGUCAUCUCAUAAUGCCUCAUCAUGUCAUUUUUGAACUCUUCAAGCAUUUUUACACAACUUCCAGUAUAAACAAUAUCAUCCACAUAGAGAGAAACAAUAAGAAUACCUGAGCCUUCAUCAGUUUUAAUGUAAAGUGUAGCUUCACUUGGACUUUUCUUAAAUCCUGCCUUGUUGAAGUAGGAAUCUAUCUCAUCAUACCAUGCCCUUGGGGCUUGUUUUAAUCCAUACAAGGCCUUGUUCAGCUUAUACACUUUGAUUUCUUCAUUCUUUUUCUCAAAACCCUGUGGCUGCUCCACAUAUACUUCUUCUUUUAGAACUCCAUUCAGAAAUGCAGACUUGACAUCCAGUUGGUAUAACUGCCAUUCCUUCUGUGCAGCCAGAGCUAUCAAAGUCCUAAUGGUAUCUAGCCUUGCCACUGGGGCAAACGUCUCAUUAUAAUCGAUUCCAGGUUUUUGUGAGUAGCCUUUAGCUACUAACCGAGCCUUAUUCUUCUGCACAGUGCCAUCUAGAUUAAGCUUGGUCUUAUAGAUCCAUUUGACACCGAUAACAGGUUUGUUAAAAGGCCUUUCCACAAGCUGCCAAGUGUUAUUCUUCUCAAUCAUUUCUAGCUCAGCCUCCAUUGCCCUUCUCCAUGACUCAUCUAGAUCAGCUUCUUCAAAAUUCUCAGGCUCCAUAAUGCACAUAUUACAUUGAGCCAUAAUGUCAUUAAUGCUCUUCCAUUUCUUUGGUGUAUGAUCAAUAGCUUGAGAACUUCCUUCAAUGCUCUCAUCCUGCAGGGUAGGAUCUCCAUCUGCUUGUGUUUGUGUCUCCAAGCUUUGACUUGGUUCUUCUGGAGCUAUGACUUCUUCAUGUAUUUGCAGUGGUGCAAUCAAAUCUGGAUUUAGAGCAUAGUCUUGAUUUCCAGUAGGCACAAGCACAGUGAUUUCUCCUUCUCUAGCAUUCUCCCAUUUCCAUAAGCUUUCUUCAUCAAAUUUCACAUCCCUUGACAGAAUAAUCUUCCUAUUUCUUGGAUCAAAGAGUCUAUAUCCCUUUUCACAAAGACCAUAGCCCACAAAAAUACACUUGUGACUGUUUUCUUCAAGCUUAUGCCUUAAUGCAGAGGGAAUAAGCACAUGACAAGGAGAUCCAAAUAUUUUCAGGUGUGCAACUCCUGGUUUUCUGCCAGUGAAGGCCUCAAAUGGUGUUACCUUAUUGAGAGCCUUGGUAGGGCAUCUAUUCAACAAAUAGACUGCAGUAUUGACAGCCUCUGCCCAAAACUCAUAAGGGAUACCUUUCUCAUGCAGCAUUGACUUAGCCAUUUCAACCACUGUUCUAUUCUUCCUCUCAGCUACUCCAUUCUGCUGAGGGGAGUAAGCCACUGUUAACUGCCUUUGAAUGCCAGAAUCUUCACAGAAACUGAUAAACUCUCCUGACAAGAAUUCUCCACCCCUAUCACUUCUCAAACUCUUUAUUUUGAACCCACUUUGCAGCUCAGUCAUAGCUUUGAAUUUCAUGAAACACUCCAAUGCACUUGAUUUGUUUCUAAUGAAAUACACCCAAGACAUCCUAGUGUGAUCAUCUGUAAAUAGGAGAAAAUAUCUGUUUCCAGAGAGGGAUUCUGUUUUCAUUGGUCCACAGAUGUCUGUGUGAACCAAUUCCAAAGGAUUAGAAGCUCUCCAAGUUGAUUCCAAAGGGAAAGAAUCCCUAUGCUGCUUUCCUUGCAUACAUCCAUCACACACCACUGACAUUUGCUCCAAAUGGGGUAGUCCAUGAACCAUCCCUUGAUUCUCAAGCAGCUUCAUACUCCUUUCAUUUAAGUGCCCAAGUCUCUUAUGCCAUAUCUGCAAGCAAUGUGUAACACUUGCUUUUAGAACCAACUCACUGGCAGGCAUCAUUGUCAAUGGAAAGCAUCUGUUGUUUGUCAUUUGCACCUCCACAAUCAGAUUUUCCAUUGACUGAUCAUCAUAAAUUCUCACCAUAUUCUCUCCAAACACAAGAUGGUAGCCAUGUGCCAUCAUUUGCCCAACACUGAGCAAAUUUUCUUCAAGACCAGGUACAAGCAUUACUUCAUGAAUGUGCUUCUUACCAACCUUGGUUUUUAUCACCAAAGUUCCUUUUUCAGUAACUGAAACUACUUCUCCAGUCCCCAUCUUCACCUUAGAAGUCAAAUCCCUUUGAACAUUUACUAAAAGUCCCUCAUCUCCUGUCAUGUGAUUACUACACCCACUGUCUAUGUACCAAGAGUGAUUAACCUUUACAUCUGUUGCAGCAUUACAGACAUAGAAUAGUGUACCAAUUUCUUCCAUCUCAUUUGCAUAAUUCACCCUAUGUGCAUUCCUAUUUCCAUUGCAAUCUCGGACCAUAUGUCCAAAUUUUCCACAUCCAUGACAUUUAGGCUUGCCUUCAUACCAGCACUUGCCAUAAUGUAACUUGUCACAAUGCUUACAAGCUGCUAUGUUACCAUCAUUAGGCUUCCAAUGUUUUUGAAAGCUUUGAUUUCCAGGAGCACUUUUCUGAAAACUCUGAUUUUCAGAAAGACUCUCAUUCUUAGGCUUCUUUUCUUCUACAUUCAAACUAGCAAAGGCUCUUUCUGAAGAAUUCUCAGUGUGCCUAUCCAAUCUGAGCUCAAAGCUCUUCAAGGAAGCAACCACUUCUUGAACUUCCAGAGUUUCAAGAUCCUUUGAGUGCUCUAUCACAGAGCAUAUAGAAUCAUAGGACUUAGGCAGACUAAACAAUAGCUUCUGCACAAUUCUCUCCCUAGAUAACUCCUCACCAUAACUCUUCAUUUGAUUCAUCAUAUUAAACAAUCUAACCAGAUAGACAGAUAGUGAUUCACUAUCCUUCAUGCGAGCAUAUUCAAAUUCCCUACGCAACCCUUGCAAUUUAACAUUUCGUACCUGUUUAUCUCCUCUGAAUUCCAGUUUCAAUAUAUCCCAAGCUCCCUUCGAGGUCUCCUCAUUCACAAUCCUUGGGAAUAGCUGAUCUGAAACUGCGCUUUGGAUUAAUCCAAGUGCACGAGCAUCCUUCAUCAGAAUCUGAGCCACCAUGGACUUCUCAGUUUCUGCAGCCUCUUCUUUUUCUUUCUUCAUGCCUGAGUCAUCUAGCCCAUUCUCGACCAGAUCCCACAAACCGUGCGAUUUCAAAAUAGUUUUCAUUCGAAUACUCCAGAAUUCGUAGUUUUCUCCAUUAAAAACUGGUGUUCGAAGCUCAGCUGCUCCAGAUCCUGCCAUAUGAGACAUCUUGAUGCAAGAAUUCGCUACUUCGAUCUCCAAAUCAGCUCAACGAUAGCUCAGAUCGAGCUCGAUUUACUGUUCACAGAUCACGCCCAGCUCAAUCAAUCGAACCUGGCUCUGAGGCCAUGAUAGAAUUCAUAGAUUUUGGAUGUGUUUGGGAGAGAAAUGAGAGAGCGUUGCUCUCUGUGUAAGAACAGAAAAAAGAAAUUGAAGAAAAAAUGAAGUCAGCUAUUUUUCAUUGUAUACCAAAGAAAAAAGAUAUAUCCGUUGAGGAGAGAGAAGAGAGAUUCUUCUCUAACUGCCUCAAUACAAAACUCAAUCCUAGCCAUUGAACUAUCAUCCUAUAAGAUGAUUACACUUGUCUCAAUCUAAACCCUCACUUAAAGAGCCACUUGGAUUCUAAUCCAAGGGUCCUUAUUACAAGCAGCAGAAACUAAAGUUUUUAAAAGAAAAUCUAAACAACAGAAACAUUUAAGUGAACUGGAAAUAGGCGGCAAAGAGGAUUUUUUUUUUUUUUGGCUCAGCUCAAAGGGUUACACAUCAACAAUCUUUGCUGAAGACUUGGAAGCUGAAUCACGAAUAGUACAGCUUUUUAAAGAUUCUGAAGAGAAGCUUGCUGUUGCCCUUUUGAAUCUAAGAUGGUGCGCCGUGCUUGGCUUCCCAAUUUCAUGGUCAUCUAAUCAAAGCCCUUUUGAAGACUGUCAUCUAACUACACUGCCAGGUGGCAUUAUGACUCCAGUGAGUUUCCCUUUAUUAUUAUUUUUGGUUGUGGUCGAACGAAGCGUAAGGCCUCCUCAGGAAGAAGGGGUGAGAGGCACAGAUGAGGUCUUGAUCUUUUACCGCUGAUUUUUUAGAUUUGUAUUAGGCUAGGAUAUUUGAGAAAAUUAGGGGAUGCCCUUUUAUCUUUUUUGGUUCAUUACGUUAUUUUGUAAGCUACUGCUUUGUAUAUUUAAAAGGUGAAAUCGUACUGCAGUUCUCUAAACAGGAUCAACUGUGCCUAGGAGGAGGCGGCGGCAUGUUUUGUUGUUAAUUUAACAAAAAGCACAAAAAAGCAUUGAUAUUUUCUUUAUGCUUUUAUUCUUUAGCAAGUAUGCUUUGACCGCUAUCUUCUGUUGUCAUUGUACUUUUGUUAUGGUUCAAAUCAGUGAUACCGGUGCGGUAUGAAUCCGCCAGGGAGGAGGCAUUUUCUCCGCAGCAUAGAAUGAGUUGCUAUCUAGGGAGGGAGAGAAGGGUGCUGCUGGCAAGUUCUUUAAAUAUUCUCUUCCGAUCCACAUCUAGGGGUUGAUUUUAUCAUUCACAAUUUAUGGAUUAAACAACAUUACAAAUUAUAGUUGUUCACGACGAGUUUUCAUAUUUUUUUGUAUGAAAACGAUAAUUGAAUUAAUUAACAAGAUGAAUGUUAACAUCUCUUAAUUUAAACAACCAAAUUAUCACUCAAUCAUUAACUAAAGUACAACCAAAAGAUGAAUACUGAAGGGAAUUAACCUCAUUCUUGGCAGAUGAAUCUGAAAUUUAAUUCAUAAAUAUCAGCCAUCAUGACAAAAUACAAACUGCUUUCACAAUGUCAAAAGCCAUAAGGAAAUUUGAGAGUUACAAGUACAACUGAGUCACUUGUAUGAUCAAAGCCAGAAUGCCUAAUCAGUUUCUUCUUUUAAUCACUGCAUAUCCAUAAAAGAAAAAUAAGAAACAGAACCGAAUGUUAUUAUCAUGUGAACAUACCAACAACAAAACAAUGUUAGGAUCAAGGGGUCAUCAUCUAAUACAUACCUACCACAUUUUUGGUGACCUGCUGUUGCACAAUCACAAUCAAGCCAUAAGAGUUUUUAGUGGGGAUCCAAUCUCCACUGAACCAACCCUUAAAAUUCAUAACCUCAAUCUGAAAAAGAAGAAAAUGAACAAGUUGAGGUUGGUUGCCGUUUGAAUGAAAGUGUGAAUGCAAAAGAAAGAAAUUAGUUAGAAAAACGCACCAAUGAAUAACUCUGGGAUGUGAGCAAUCUUGGACCAGUCCUCACCUGUUUCUUUCUGGCAUCUUUGCUUUAAGAUGGGGCAACUCUCAAUUAUCAACCUUUUUAAUGAGACGAGGCAACGAAGCCCUUCUGGGAGUGAUGCCAAAUUAGGACAAUUUGAAAUACGCAGUCUCUGUAAGGAGAUGAGGCGACCCAUCCCUUGAUCUGGUAGUGAUACCAAAUUAGGACAAUGUUCAAUUUCAAGCUCCUCAAGUAAUGUGAGGUUUCCAAUCCCUUCUUCUGGCACAUAUUCUAUAUCCUCAACGCCCCUAAUCACCAGAGAUUUUAAUUUGUAAGAGGAAACAAAGGAGGAGGGAAGGACCUUCCAGCUGCAUUUAUGUAACCACAGUUCAUCAAGAUUUGGGUACAGCGGCAUGGAAGUUAGGUUAGGACAACGAUAUAUAGAUAAAAAAGAAAGACAAGGAAAUGAAGAAGCUGAAGCUGAAGCUGUUUCAUUCCUCCACCAUCCCUUGAGAUUAGGGCAAUCAAUUAGAUGAAGACUCUCUAAGGAGGGAAAGAAGGUCGUCGAUGGAGAAGCAGCUGACAUCAUCAUCACAUCACCGGCGAAGCCCUUGACCUUGUCUUCUGCAGAUAUGUGCUCCAAAUUCCUUAACCCGUGAAGAUCAAGACACUUAAGAAAAGGUAAAUGAUCCAACGGUGGAAGAUGUUGG
rnacentral:lncRNA from 1 species